rnacentral:rRNA from 1 species
AGUGAACGCUGGCGGUAGGCCUAACACAUGCAAGUCGAACGGCAGCACAGUAAGAGCUUGCUCUUACGGGUGGCGAGUGGCGGACGGGUGAGGAAUACAUCGGAAUCUACUUUUUCGUGGGGGAUAACGUAGGGAAACUUACGCUAAUACCGCAUACGACCUACGGUUGAAAGCAGGGGAUCUUCGGACCUUUCGCGAUUGAAUGAGCCGAUGUCGGAUUUGCUAGUUGGCGGGGUAAAGGCCCACCAAGGCGACGAUCCGUAGCUGGUCUGAGAGGCUGAUCAGCCACACUGGAAAUGAGACACGGUCCAGACGCCUACGGGAGGCAGCAGUGGGGAAUAGUGGACAAAGGGCGCAAGCCUGAUCCAGCCAUACCGCGUGGGUGAAGAAGGCCUUCGGGUUGUAAAGACCUUUUGUUGGGAAAGAAAAGCAGCAGGUUAAUACCCCGCUGUUCCGACGGUACCCAAAGAAUAAGCACCGGCUAACUUCGUG